CUGACAUAUAGAGCAGACUCUGAGAUCUUUUCAGCAUCAAACCUCUUUAUUAAUUUGUGUUGGACAUCUGAUUGUGUAGCAAGGAAACUCAAGAAGUAGACAUUCCAUCCUACAUGAUGUAGACUUGCAUCGGCAUAUGAAGGUAAACUAUUCCUUAUGGUUGUCGGCUGGGAAAACAUGCACAAGAUGACCAACAUGGGCUAAUGAGGCCAGCCAAACCCUGACUCCUGUGGUUGCACCUGUGUAUGUCAGUCUCCAUGGAGUUG